rnacentral:rRNA from 1 species
UGUCGUCAGCUCGUGUUGUGAAAUGUUGGGUUAAGUCCCGCAACGAGCGCAACCCUUAUCCUUUGUUGCCAGCGGUCCGGCCGGGAACUCAAAGGAGACUGCCAGUGAUAAACUGGAGGAAGGUGGGGAUGACGUCAAGUCAUCAUGGCCCUUACGACCAGGGCUACACACGUGCUACAAUGGCGCAUACAAAGAGAAGCGACCUCGCGAGAGCAAGCGGACCUCAUAAAGUGCGUCGUAGUCCGGAUUGGAGUCUGCAACUCGACUCCAUGAAGUCGGAAUCGCUAGUAAUCGUGGAUCAGAAUGCCACGGUGAAUACGUUCCCGGGCCUUGUACACACCGCCCGUCACACCAUGGGAGUGAGUUGCAAAAGAAGUAGGUAGCUUAACCUUCGGGAGGG